GUCACCACCUUAUCAACUAGACCAGAGCACUGAGGACCACGUCCAGUCACUUCCUGAACACAGAUAAAUCCCCUUUUCCACCUCUUAUGGUGGUGGAAGGCAGGACUGACACAGAGGGGUUUGGAAACAGCCUUAACACUCAUCCCUGUGAGGUGGAAGCAAAGCCUUUUCUGUUAAUGAGCACAGAGGUUUCAUUAAAUCUGUUUAAAUACCUUAUACGUAGUUCUAAAAUGAUGUGUUGGUUUUGUUGCUUAAAAUGGAGGGACGAGCAGGAGCUCCAUUGUUUUUUAGGUGAAGACAUUUGUGCUGGUCCCCAUGUAUUAAUCUCCCGUCCUUUUGCAUAGGGAGAAGUUAAAAGGCAGGGUAGAAACUUCGUUGCUGCAGCUCUACCUGUGUCUACAUUGCUGUGAAAAUAUGCCAGGAUGUGCCUCUUUUUAAGUAGUUUCAGGUUUGCUGAAUACUUGCAUUUAUUCUGCAGUAAGUGCCCGGAAGGACAAGUGUUGCCACUGACUAUAUAGAAACACUUUCAGAGUUUAUAAAGUAUUUUGAAUUUUUCAUCCCCCAACUUCACUUGCCCCAUUUUGCCACUUAAAAUGCCCAAAGCAAAUAAGCCUUCGCAUUAGUGCUUAAAAGAAUAAAGUGUAUUUUAUAUCAGCACCCUGCUUCUUACAGACCUUGGAGUACAGUCGAAGUUUACUAUGUUUUCUAGGUGUUGAUAAUGAUGGAAGUUGGGUUUGAAUACAGGUUAGCACUGACAUGUUUAAUGCUUGCUUUUUAAAGACCGUAGGUAAGUUUCUGUAAAUAUAUGUGAAGUUGAAUUAUUUUUGUUUACGUUAUCUUUGCUUUCCUGAAGUUCCUUCCCCCCUGCUUAAUCGCCCCUCCUUUUCCUUCUUUCACUCUGGGAUGUAGAGGCACUGAGGUUUUAUUUCAGAGUGAAGUUUUGACGAUGCUUUUGCUUUCUUCUGAUUUUAAUGGCUUAUCAGAAUAGUGCUGGCAGGGUGAGAGUUGCCAAGUGAAAAAUCCAAACUACCACGGACCUUGGCAUAAGGUGAUUGCCGCGUUAAUUACUUCAGUUUAUGUACAUAUUCGGAGCUGGCAUUUACUCUUGGCUCUGUGUUUUGAGUAUGAUUUAAUGUUUUAAGUCCCAAAGUCAUGUUCUCCAAGCUUCACUUCUAAAGCACCGAGUGAGGGGAAGCCCAGAACGUGGCCUGCAGCUGUUCAUCUUUUAACUUCUCUCCUGGGAGGGUAUGACUCCAAAUGCUUCUCCAAACCAGUCUCUGCUGUAGGAUGACAGGAAUGGAGACUGAAGCAGCGAGAGACAAAGCCAUGGAAGAAGAAAGCACUGAACAGAAAAAGGAGAGGGAGAAGAAGAAGAGGUCAAGGGUUAAACAGGUGCUGGCAGAUAUAGCCAAGCAAGUGGAUUUCUGGUUUGGGGAUGUAAAUCUCCACAAAGACAGAUUUCUCCGAGAACAAAUAGAGAAGUCCAGAGAUGGGUAUGUUGACAUAUCACUUCUUGUUUCUUUCAACAAGAUGAAAAAAUUAACUACUGAUGGGAAGCUGAUCGCUCGGGCAGUUAAAAGCUCCUCUGUUGUGGAGCUGGACUUGGAAGGAACCAGAAUCAGAAGACGCCAACCACUGGGUGAGAGGCCAAAGGAUGUGGACAGUCGGACUGUCUAUGUGGAGCUGCUUCCCAAAAAUGUCAAUCACAGUUGGAUCGAGAGGGUGUUUGGCAAGUGUGGUAACGUGGUUUAUGUCAGUAUACCCCGGUACAAAACUACUGGGGACCCAAAGGGCUUUGCCUUUGUGGAAUUUGAAACUAAAGAGCAAGCAGAGAAAGCUAUUGAGUUUUUGAAUAAUCCACCAGAAGAAGCACCACGGAAACCUGGGAUUUUCCCCAAGACAGUGAAGAAUAAGCCUGUUCCUACACUGAACACAAGUGACAGCACUGUAGUAGAGGAGAAGAAAAAGAAGAAAAAAAAGAAAUCGAAAAUGAAGAAAGAGAGCAAUGCACAGGCAGCUGCAGAGCCAAAGGAAUCAAACAGCAGCACUACAACAGAACCAACACCCAAAGCAAAAAGACAGAGGACUCCAUCUGAGUGUUCUGAAAUGGAGGCAACUGAGACUCCAAGGCAGCCCUCCAGGAGGGAAAAAAGGAAAUGGGACAAACCAGAAAAUUCAGAGGUAACUUGUGAAAGCAGGCCUGGGAAGAGGAAAAGAACCAGCUCAGGAGAUGGGGAGACAUCAGCUCCAAAAGUCAAGAAAACUGCUGAAAAGGAUGAAGCUGAACCAGUAAAAGAAGAAACAACAGAAGCUCCAAAGGAUUCCAAUGGUAAAGAAGUUUCUGCAGAAGAAGACAAAGAUAAAAAAGACACAUCCCUUUCCAAAGCUAAAAGGAAACACAAAAAGAAACACAAGGAAAGGCACAAAAUGGAGGAAGAAGUCAUCCCCCUCAGAGUACUGUCCAAGACCGAGUGGAUGGGACUGAAGCAAGAAUAUUUGGCCCUGCAGAAAGCCAGUAUGGCCUCCUUAAAGAAAACCAUGUCUCAAAUCAAACCCGAGCCCGCGGGGGAGAUGGAAACGGAAUCCUGCGCCCAGAAAUCGGAAAAUCACAAAACAGCCCCCAGUGAAGACGGUGCCCCUCCCGCCAAGGCCAACACAAUGGGGCCUCAGUUCGUCAGCGGAGUAAUUGUGAAGAUCAUUAGCACCGAGCCCCUGCCGGGCAGGAAGCACAUCAAGGAUGCUCUGGCAGUGCUGGCUGAGGUGGCUUAUGUUGACAUGCUGGAGGGAGACACGGAAUGUCACGUCCGCUUCAAGACCCCCGAGGAUGCCCAGACUGUCCUGAAAUCCCACAAAGAGAUCCAGAUCAAAAACAACUGCAAAUUCGAAGUUCUCACUGGUGACAAUGAACAACGUUACUGGCAGAAGAUUUUAGUGGACAGACAAGCUAAACUUAACCAACCUCGAGAAAAGAAGAGGGGUACUGAGAAGUUGAUUGCCAAGGCUGAGAGGAUGAGACUGGAGAAGACUCAGCAGACAAGCAAACACAUUCGCUUCACUGAGGACAACUAACCAGGACUGAUGAUCUUGGAGUGUGAACUGCAGAAGAAUCUUCGGUGGAAGAAAUAAUAUCUUUGUUUGAUACCUGUGAUUGCCUUAGCUCCAGAAGUAGUUCUCACUUGCAGAUAAGUGUUAAAAGUCGGGUAGUUCACAGUUUAAGAUGGUGAUUUUAAUGGCUUUCAAGUAUUUCAUGGGAGACUGGCAAUAUUUUAAAAAUCCCUGAAGGUAAAAUUGUAAUUCUACACGAGGCUGCACUGGUGAGUGACUCAGCCCUGCUGGCAGGGGGGGAGUGAAUGGAGAGGAUUAGCACGACUCAAUGGAGAGGGAAUAGCAGCGAUCAGGCUGGAGAUAGCAGGAAAACAGAGGGGAAAAGUGCAAGAUAAGGGACAAACAAAAGGGCUGGAAGGGCUGCAGGGGAAGAGCUUGCUGAUGGUUCUUGGAAAUGGUGCGUGGAGGAUUCCUCCCAGGGGAAAGGUGGGGGAAGGCUAAGAACUAACCCUGGUGCCAGGCACUCCCCUGUGGACUCCUGCAGUAUUCAAGUGUUUAGUCCAAUCGCAGCAUUUUUUAUUUAUUAUUAUCAUUUAAUCUUGAACUCCUCCCAUCCUAGGUGGGUAAGAUAUUUGAUGACACGUAAAAAAUCAUUUUCAUACCUACCUAUGAAAAAAAUUGAUCCGUUAACGUGUUUUUUUUUCUCGGCGUCCUGCCUAAAAGACAGUUUGUUUUCCAUUUCUGCGAUGUGAAGGGGAAAAAAUAAACCCAAAAGCCUACUGUGGGUAAAAUGUUUGGGAUUUCGCUGCUGAAGUUCAUUUGAGUCAAAAAUAUAUCCGUGUUAUAAAUAAUUCAGCUCAUAAAUGAUUCAGACUUUUUAUGUGUGGUGGAGAGUGGAACUGAACUGCAAAAGCCUAAGUCUGGGAGUUAUUGCUCUUAUAUUAAUAUUUUCUGACUUUAACACACAGAAGUCACCCUUCUGUCCCUUUCCAUAUCUAUGCAGGUUAAUUCCUUACACUUCAAAAUGAGUUUUCUUUUUCUCCUUUGCCAAACUAGUGCAGCAAUCUGCUUCAGCAGGGAAGGACAGUCGGUGUUUAUUACUUCCUGAAGAAGUUAAUGACAGCAUUUUUGCUCUUAAUUCAGAAGUCAGGAAUGGAGAGGAUGGUCUAGAUGCUUUAUCAAAACCUUGGAUUCUCAAGGAUGCUAGAAUGCAGCAGAUGUUAAAAGGAAGAACAAAUCAAAGCAGCCAUAUACCCAGUGGGACUGAGGUUUCCUUGAGCUCGGCACUCAUCUCCAGCAGUAGUUGGCACCCAGGGAAGAGGAAAAAAAAGUGGAUAAAGAGACACUGAAACUUCCCUGAAACAGCCCCUGAGCCUCUGGAGUGCAAAGCUGCCCUACUUUACACCAUCACCUUGGAGAUGGAAAACACAGUUCUCUGCAAAAUCUGCUUGUCACGAUUCCCAAUUUUUUGUAUCGGAGGUCCCGGCACAGCUUUGUGCGUCUCCUUUGUUCUCCGGCAGUUUCCAUGGUGCUCCCGCUUUUGUGUGCAGACCUGUCUGCGGGCAGCACUUCUUCUCCAACGCCGGCUGAUUUCCCGAGGCGAGGCGGCGCAUCGCACUGCGUGCCCGUGCUGCAGAGCUGCCGGGCCUCGGCCACCGCCGGCAUCCUGCAGCCUGGCACUCGGGAACCUCGGGAAACUACGGCUUCGUGUGUUUUAAAGGAACGGAGCGAUACGCAUUAACCCAGCUCAGCCUUUCGCCGGUCGUGUUUAGCAGUAUGAGAGGAGGGCUCUUAUCCGAGGGGAUCGUUGCUGUAAGAUGAAAAGGCAGGGCAAGAAGCAGCAGCCAUGCUGCUGUUUGCUGCAGCACUCUGCAAAUUCGAUGUGCAGAUGAUCUGUAGGUGUAACAAAGCAUCGUUCCCCUCACACAGGCAAGGAUGAACUCAUUUAUCUGUUACCCAGCUGUUAAUUCUCUGCUGAUCGUUCUGAUACCGGGAGCACUGACCUCCUGAAUGGCAUCAGCAGGGAGGAACUCGUGGUCCUCACGUCAGGCACAAAGUCAGAAUAACCUGUCCUCUGCUAUUUAUGCCCAGGAAUAAUAUCCCUCAAGAAACCCUGAGCCUUGAGCCUGCUCAGAGGAUCAUAGUAGAGGGCUUAGAGCCCGAGACUAGAAAUAUUUCAGCGGGAAAACGGGUUCUGUGCAUCUUACAGGCUGUUCAUCCAAAAGGAACUGGAGUGUAAAAUCACUGCCCAAGUGAAAAAGCAGGCGAAAGGGCAAAGCUGUGCCAAGGGGGGAAUUGUAACUCCCAGGCACAGCAGAGAGUACAUUAAGUGGUGGGAAUAAGGCUGGAGGUCUGUCAGCAGGAAUGCACUUUAACCCAGGACCUGCAGAUAUCAAUAAGAAAAAACAUUAAUAUCAAAAUAUAGAGAGAAUAUCACUGUGGGCACAAGGGUGGCUAAGAAAGAGAUGUCUGCAUCACAAAAACUAAAUACUGCUUUUUCUUCACUAAGGUGAAGCUUGUACUGUGUGCUGGGAGAGAACAGGCUGCUUCCCCAAAGCUGGACAUGGAAACGAGCGUUUGGUAAGCCUUGGCAGAGGUUUUCAAGGAUGCCUAGGAAAUUAUAAUGCCCAAUUAAGUAGGAAUUGGUCAUCCAAGUCCCUUAGGCGGUCCUGAAAAUUGCAGCCACUCUGCACUGCAUCUCAUUUUCAGUCAGAUUUUUCCCUUCUGCUUCUCUUUGCACUCCUCUUCCAGCACCAUCCGCAGCUCCUGCUGGCACAGAGCUCCAGCUGGAGCUGAGGCCAAGGAGCAGGGCUUGGACAUAUGGCAUUCCAGCAGCCUCAGUGGGGACAGAAGAGGGGAUAGUCUGCCCCUGUUGGGGCCAUUCAGAGCUGGAGCUUCUCUGUAUUAGCUUAGCUUCCUAGGAACCCCUGGGAAUUUUACUAUGUCCUUGAUUUCCUUCAGCAGCUCCACUCUUGGAAUGGGCUGUGCCUGGGCACAAGAGAUGAGGGAAGCCCUUUACCUGGCAAAGCCUUGGGAGAUAAGAAAGGAGUGAAAAAAACUCAUUAUUUUAGAGGUAGAUUUGCAAGAAAACAGGAGGGAAACCUCAUUCUAAAGGUGAGCAGGAACAGCAUCCCAAGGUUUCCUGGGAGCCCCGCUCCAAUACCACCUUUAAAUAUGGAAGACUUGCUCAUGGCCAGAGCACUGCUUCCCUCUCCCCUGGGUCUUAGUUUUCCACUGAUUCCGUCUGAUCCAGCCUUUUCAAUGACUAAAUCUCCAUUUCCCACAACCUGCUAUCAGUUGUUAUUCCUUCUCAGCCCUCCUCCUCAUCCAGACCCAUCCAGUUUAUCUGUGGCCCUGGAGUUCCUGAGCUGUGUUGCCAGCCUGCAGCAGGUUGGAACUGUGCAGGUACUUCCCAGGAAUAAACCUACUGGUUGCGCAGAAGGCACGGUGGUGGGAUCCAAGGAAAGGACCUGUCCUUGUGUGACAGAGGUGACCUGGACAGAUGUUCCUUUUGGAAGUACCAGGACACGGAGAGUGGCAAUGGAACAAACAGAGUUGUCAAUGCUGCACUUGUCGAAAGGAAAUCUAAACACUUCUCACAUUAAAAAAUACAGCCACUGUGAUGAACUUUGCAAACUAAAUAGUCAGUUGUUCUCUGAUGGAGCAUCAUGGCACUCAGGAACUGCUAUCCCACUGCACCUCUGAGCAUGCAGGAAUAAAUUAAUGUUCCUAAUCCAUUAUCUGAUACGGAGAGAAAGUGUGCAGGAGUGUCUUUUACUGACCUCAGGUAAAGUUCCUUAUCACCGAGCAACGUACUGUGGUCACACGGUAAUUUUCCUGCUGUCACGGCAUUAUUGAUCCCCCUGAAAUCCCUUUAUCCCAUCUCAUUUUCUUUUGCUAAGAUACCUGUCUGAAAUAAUGCCUGGAAGUGGAUGUCCUCCUUUUCCCAUUCAAGCUUUUUUAUUUUUUUUAUUUUUUUUUUUAUUAUUAUUAUUUUUAAACCUUGAAAUGUGGUUGGACGUAUUUGGAAAUCCCCAAGGACGGGAAGGUUUCUGGGAUUCCAAACUCAUGGCUUGGACUAAGAAGCACCAGUGGAGAGAGAACACCACGGUGCCCAGAUGAGGAGUGCUGGGGUGGAUGUGGGAAGAUGCAGAACAGAGCUCCUGGCCUCCUGCUUCUCCAGGGAUGUUUCUGUGGCAGAGAAGUUCUGUGUUGUGAAUCCGUCUACUUCAUCUCAAAUCCUAUAGUUUUCCAGCCACUCAGUUUGGGUUGGUCGAUAUGAGGUCUGCUCCUAGGGAGCAACUGUGUGUGGGAGACUGCAGCAACCAGUUUCCUUUUUCUUACUUACUUUCCUCAAGAAGUUUCCCCCUAACUACUGGAUUUUGCCUCUUUUAUACUCUGUUUUAUACUUUUUUUUCCACUUAAAACUUGUGUCCCACUGAUAUUAGAGGUUACCUUCUGGGCAAUUCAUACCACUGACUAUUCAUAUGCUGCUGCUGUGCUUUGUUCCUGCCUUUUCUAACCCACUGCUGAGAUUUUUUCCUACUGCAGGAUGUUCUUUGUCUUCUACUAAGAGUUGUCAGGAUUUAAGGAUAUUUUCAGCUUCUCUUCCAUGGAUGAUUUAGGCAGAUGCCUUGCUUUGGACAACACAGUGUUUGCCUUCACCCCUUUGCUGGUGCUCAUUCUAGUUCCAUAACUUCAUAAAUUACAUUGGUUUAAUUUCCCCAUUUUCAAGGUUUCUUUGAACUUUAAUUUGAUUCGAGCUUGUUUUUAAUUUCACCUUCUGCUACUAUAAAGGAUUAGAAGUAAUUUGUUCAGAACCUAGAAUGACUUGAAAAAUCAGCAUAGUGAAGCAUUCACUUAGAACACUUCUAUUCCAGUGAACUCUGUCUGCCAUAUCAGAGGGAAAAUGGUGCUAGAAAAUGUCUUCUCCCUGAAUUGAAAUGAUGAAAUAUAAAACAUAAUGAACCUGCUGCAUAAUAGAUGUAGACUAAUGUAGGAAAGAGUAAUUACAGUUAGUGCAUAAAUGACUACGUGUGUCUAGGUUGCAUAUAAAAAUUACUGUGCUACAGUGUUAUUUGGGUUGCAAAAUGAAGCACUGAGUAGUUACAAACUAAUAGAAUUAAGGCCUGUGUAAUCUUAAUUCUGUCCCCCUCUGUGUCUGUCCUAUUCACUGAAUUGGGUUCUGGAAAAUAAAAGCUUGAAGUGAUUGUAUAAUUAGGAAUAGAAUUGCAAUAUAUGAUAACAUGCUGUAGGAUAACAAAUACACGUCUUCCACACUGCCAAUCUGUUGAUUUUAAGCCCACUAUUAACACAAGGGAAAUGGUGAUUUUGGAAAGUGAAGGCAUUUUGCAGGCAGAGAUUAAAGGUGCAGUUCCAGCUCCAGGCAAAGUUCUCCUGGCACCUGGGGACCUAGUGGGGCUUUUGUAAAAAGUAACAAAAGUUCUCCAUAAUAAAAAUCUGGUGUGUAACAUUAA